ensembl:snoRNA U3 Small nucleolar RNA U3
AAGACUGUACUUUCAGGGAUCAUUUCUAUAGUUCGUUACUUAAAAAUGUAAACAUAUACCUACCAUACAACCAACGCAUUCCACUCCUAGGUAUUUUGC